GUGGGGAAUAUUGGGCAAUGGGCGCAAGCCUGACCCAGCAACGCCGCGUGAAGGAAGAAGGCUUUCGGGUUGUAAACUUCUUUUACCAGGGACGAAACAAAUGACGGUACCUGGUGAAUAAGCCACGGCUAACUACGUGCCAGCAGCCGCGGUAAUACGUAGGUGGCGAGCGUUAUCCGGAUUUAUUGGGUGUAAAGGGCGUGUAGGCGGGACAGCAAGUCAGAUGUGAAAACCAGAGGCUCAACCUCUGGCCUGCAUUUGAAACUGUUGUUCUUGAGUGUCGGAGAGGUAAUCGGAAUUCCGUGUGUAGCGGUGAAAUGCGUAGAUAUUAGGAGGAACACCAGUGGCGAAGGCGGCUUGCUGGACAUUAACUGACGCUGAGGCGCGAAAGCGUGGGGAGCAAACAGGAUUAGAAACCCGGGUAGUCC
rnacentral:rRNA from 1 species